ensembl:snoRNA
GCAGAAUUGAAAGUAAUGUUUUAAGAAAUUCAUGUUAUAAGCUGAGUAAGAGAACUGCAUACCAGGUCUAUAAUCGUGGUAGAGACAGAGUUAUGUACAUCCGCUGCAAGUGCGAUCCAAGAAACACUUCGCCCACUUUGAAGCACCUCACUCCAGCAGGAAUGAGUCUUCGGUUGCCAGAGAGAAGGUGUAAACUGUAGUGGAAGGAGAAACAGGACAUAUUCAAGGUACCAGGGCCAGAAGUUUUGAAGGACUCAGCUAUGUCAUGGCCACUGAGAGAUGAAAUGCAUAUUUUUGGUGAUCUGAUGGCU